rnacentral:rRNA from 1 species
UGGGGGAUAUUGCACAAUGGGCGAAAGCCUGAUGCAGCGACGCCGCGUGGGGGAUGAAGGCCUUCGGGUUGUAAACUUCUUUUGCUCUGAACAAGGCGCACCAUGGGGUGUGUUGAGUGUAGGGGUUGAUUAGCGCCGGCUAACUACGUGCCAGCAGCCGCGGUAAUACGUAGGGCGCGAGCGUUGUCCGGAAUUAUUGGGCGUAAAGGGCUUGUAGGUGGCUGGUUGCGUCUGUCGUGAAAGCUCAUGGCUUAACUGUGGGUUUGCGGUGGGUACGGGCUGGCUUGAGUGCAGUAGGGGAGGCUGGAAUUCCUGGUGUAGCGGUGGAAUGCGCAGAUAUCAGGAGGAAUACCGGUGGCGAAGGCAGGUCACUGGGCCAUUACUGACGCUGAGGAGCGAAAGCAUGGGUAGCGAACAGG